GGGUCAGUAGGUUGGUCGUGCCACCGGUACGUACUGGUCUCACUGAUUCCUCCUUCCUGAAGAACCGUAAUGCCAUUAAUUUGGUGGUGCGGGGGAACAGGACUGUUACUUUGAAAAAAUUAGAGUGUUUAAAGCAAGCUAACGCUUGAAUACAUUAGCAUGGAAUAAUGAAAUAGGACGAUCGAUCCUAUUUUGUUGGUUUCUAGGAUUGACGUA
rnacentral:rRNA from 1 species